rnacentral:rRNA from 1 species
GACGAACGCUGGCGGCAUGCCUAACACAUGCAAGUCGAACGAAGCCUUCGGGCUUAGUGGCGCACGGGUGCGUAACGCGUGGGAAUCUGCCCUUGGGUUCGGAAUAACAGCGAGAAAUUGCUGCUAAUACCGGAUGAUGACGUAAGUCCAAAGAUUUAUCGCCCAAGGAUGAGCCCGCGUAGGAUUAGCUAGUUGGUGAGGUAAAGGCUCACCAAGGCGACGAUCCUUAGCNGGUCUGAGAGGAUGAUCAGCCACACUGGGACUGAGACACGGCCCAGACUCCUACGGGAGGCAGCAGUGGGAAUAUUGGACAAUGGGCGAAAGCCUGAUCCAGCAAUGCCGCGUGAGUGAUGAAGGCCUUAGGGUUGUAAAGCUCUUUUACCCGGGAUGAUAAUGACAGUACCGGGAGAAUAAGCUCCGGCUAACUCCGUGCCAGCCGCCGCUGUAAU